UAUGGCCACAUCACGUUGAAAUACCGGUUCUUAUAUGAUCACCAAAGUUAAGCAAUGUCAAGCCUAGUCAGUACCUAGAUGGGUGACUACUUUGGAAUACCAGGUACUGUA